UACAGAGGUCUCAAGCGUUGUUCGGAUUCAUUGGGCGUAAAGGGUGCGUAGGUGGCGCCGUAAGUCGGGUGUGAAAUUUCGGGAGCUUAACUCCGAAACUGCAUUCGAUACUGCGGUGCUUGAGGACUGGAGAGGAGACUGGAAUUCAUGGUGUAGCAGUGAAAUGCGUAGAUAUCGAUAAGGAAGACCAGUGGCGAAGGCGGGUCUCUGGACAGUUCCUGACGCUGAGGCACGAAGGUCAGGGGAGCAAACGGG
rnacentral:rRNA from 1 species